CGCGAAAACUUUACAAUGCUGGCAACAGCGAUAAGGGAACCUCGAGUGCCAGGUUACAAAUCUGACUGUCGAGAUGCCUAAAAAGCAUUUCAUAGCAAGGGCCGGGCAAGACCGGUGCCAGCCGCCGCGGUAACACCGGCGGCUCGAGCGGUAACCGUUAUUAUUGGGUCUAAAGGGCCUGUAGCCGGCCGGAUAAGUCUCUUGGGAAAUCUGGCAGCUCAACUGUCAGGCUUUCAGGAGAUACUGUCUGGCUCGAGGCCGGGAGAGGUGAGAGGUACUUCAGGGGUAGGGGUGAAAUCUUGUAAUCCUUGAAGGACCACCAGUGGCGAAGGCGUCUCACCAGAACGGACCUGACGGCAAGGGACGAAAGCUAGGGGCACGAACCGGAUUAGAUACCCGGGUAGUCCUAGCCGUACACGAUACUCGCUAGGUGUCGGCCACGGUGCGACCGUGGUCGGUGCCGUAGGGAAGCCGUGAAGCGAGCCACCUGGGAAGUACGGCCGCAAGGCUGAAACUUAAAGGAAUUGGCGGGGGAGCACCACAACGGGUGGAGCUUGCGGUUUAAUUGGAUUCAACGCCGG
rnacentral:rRNA from 1 species